CAAACCCUAACCCUAAUCCCCCACACCCCUAAUUUCCCAAAAUACAAACCCUCAAACGACCCUCCUCUCUUCACGGUAACACACGCACACACCCACGAAAGCGCAGAGAGAGAGAGAGGGAAAACGGAGAAGGGAAGAGAGGGAAGAGGAAGCAGACGGCGCCGACGGAACUGGCAGCCGCCGUCGCAGUCGAUGCUCGGAUCGAGAAGGAAGCUCGCGACAGAGAUGAGAGGGACCGUCGCCAUCACCGCUGGUGUGGUCGGAGUCACCGUCGUCGUCGAUUGAAGGUGCCGCCGUCGUAGUGGAAGAAACCCAGAGAAAGAGAUGAACAAGGCCCGAAGAGAGUGAGCCUCGCUCCUCCGCCGUUUCUGCUCAGCGUCACUGCCACCGGAGUUCGUCUCUGCCGCCGCCAUUGGAGAUGAACCCAGUUGUUCUCUUACUGCCGGAGGAUCAAUUGAAUUGGAAGCCAGCUUAAAGGAUGAAAGUGUGAACAAAGAUGAAAAAAGCUUUACUAACCAGCAAUGGGACCAAACUUUAGUUACAAAGAAAAGGAUGCCACCAACAUUAAAAGGUUUCUACGACCUUCAACCUGAUGAUGAAGUAGUUAAAAAAAGUAGAGGAGGCCGAGGCCGCGACCAUGACCCUGGCAGAUUAGAUGACACUUGGACCUCAUCAAUGGAAGCAGAAGUUCAAAUUGUCCAUGGAAUCUCAAAGAACCCUUUCAGCCACAUAACUAGCAAGGGAAAAGAUAGAGAUUUGGAGGAUUUCACCUGCAAGAGUUGCUUGAAUUGACCGAAAACUUCUCAGAGGACAAAAAGAUUGGGAGAGGAGGCUUUGGAUCAGUAUACCAUGCUACUCUGCAAGAUGAUCUUUAAUGGUGUAAUCCUCAAGGUAAAGCAACCAUGAAUAUGCUGCACAGGGUAGAGCCGUAUGUUAUGUACGAGUAUGCAAAUUUCACAUAUUCAGAGACCACAUCAUCUUGAGUCGUUUACCUGCACAAUGCCUUAAUGACAUAUCAUCUUAAGAAUUCAAGUCACCAAAUAAAAAAAUCUAUUUGAAUUGUAUGGCUGCUAAAAUUAAGAGUAGGCUGCUGAAUAUAAAUUGAAAUGAUUUAGCAUUUAAAAUUACAAAACAUGCUUUAAUAAUUUCUUUGCAGCUUGAACAAAGUAAAUUUGAGGAGAAGAAGAAACUUGAAAAUUAGGAUUUUUUCAGAAUCCAGAUCUGUGAAUUGGAAGAAUAAGGAGCAUACUUACUUAAGUUUUGUCGAUUGCCAAUCUAGAGCUUUUUAGGAAUUAAGAGCUGCAAUGAAGUCUGUCAAAAAUGAAGUUUUAAAAACAAAAAGAAGCUACUCAGAGAAUUUCAAGUACUUUGCAGGUGUUGAGCUUUCAAAUGUUUAAGUGGCUGAAACAAAAGUUUUCGAGCGUUGAGAAGAAAGAAUAGCAAUACCAGAAACAAUUUAUUCUGGUAGAAUCUAAAUUGUAUUGCUCUCACGUCUGUGGAACAAUUUUGUUAAUAGUGUCUACUUAGUGUUAGUGUAUAUAUCACUGUAUAAAACUAAGAUUGAGACAAGUGUAUUCACUCAACUAUAUUGAUAUCAACUAUAUUGAUAUGUUAGUCGGUUAUUUUAAUCA